AAAUUGCUCAUAGGUUAUAAUGUAUCAACCCCUCAAAUUGACCACAUUUCCUUCAAUGUUGUCAGUCCAACAGACAUAUGGUCAGAUAUAUCAGUACCCGAGGAAGCAAGCUUCAAAGGAUAAGAAAAGUUACUGUUGAAGUGAGCACAAGACAUCAGCAGUUGUUUCGUCAGAAGCCAGUAUGUUCUCUACAGCGGUAUUACAGUGCAGAUCUGCCAACACAUUACAAGAUCGCACUUCCGGCCCUUUCUCCUACAAUGGAGGUUAGCUGCAGAGAUUGAGACAGAUAAAGCCACUAUGAGGUUUGAAUCUGUUCAGGAAGGUUACCUUGCAAGAAUCUUUAUUCCUGCUGGAAUGAUGGACAUUCCUGUGGGCAAGGGAGGAACAUUUACUAUCUCCAACCUUGGCAUGUAUGGGAUAAAGUCAUUCUCUGCUGUUAUUAACCCUCCACAAGCAUGUAUUUUGGCAGUGGGUUGAGCAGAAAAGAGACCGACCAUAGACGAGGACAGCGGUCAAGGGUAUGCCCAGGCUAACAUGAUGUCAGUGACUCUAAGCUGUUGCCAUCGUGUUGUAGACGGAGCUGUUGGUGCCCAGUGGCUGGCAGAAUUCAAGAAGUUCAUGGAGCGACCGGAAACUAUGCUCUUAAAAAUACAGUUUAGGCUGAAUAUUUAUGGAGUGGGAAAUCUUCAAAGUGCUAGAGAAAUAAGUGCAAUGAUACAUGGAUAUUAAACAAGGGACACUGGUGGCAUGUGUAUUGUUGGUUGUUUUACUCAGUAGCAGUGGAAGGAAGUCUCUAGCUCUGAGUGAACAAUUAGACCCAUCACAUGCUUCCACCUGGGGCAACAAGAGUGAUUAAUAUAAGUUGGAAAAAACUUGUUUCACAAUUGUUGUAAAAUAAAUAAAGUUUAUCGUUAUAACAAAUAGGAUAUUAGUUGUGUGAUGGUGUCAUGAUUGCAUGCACACUUUUUGAAACACUUAUGUCUUCACUGCAAUAAUGAUUUGACAGUUUUAGUUCAACAGUUAUGGCCAACGUUAAAUUGAAACAGUUAAUGGUCAAUGUCACAUGGUUAAAAACAUUUGGUACAGCGGGAAAGGUAUCGUCACAAGGAAUAUGCAUGCCAAAUAUGAAAGUCCUACAUUUUAAUGGUGCAAUAGUUAUGACCAAUGUUAAAAAAAUUUCAAAUGUAAGUAAAAGGUCAAGGUCACAUGGUAAAAAAUUAAUCAUGCAUUAGUUAUGGGCAAGGUUAAAGUUGGCAACAGACAAGCAAAAAACAAAGAAACAACACAAAAAAAUAUGCCCCCGGGUUAAAAAUAAAACUGACUUCAUUGGACAGUUACCACAAGCCAUCUUUUGUACUAUGUAAACCUCUCAGUAGCAGUUAUCGAGUUGUGAGCAUUUUUCAACUACAUGUUCUUAAGUAUUUCUCACCCAUUCAUUCUCUAGUAAUCAUCUGCUGCAUAUUGUUUCACAAGUCUUCAUUAUCCGCUUUGUAGAAGGAUCGACUUUUCGUAUACAUUGUAAAUUGUUUUGUCUUCCUAAUUGUUCAUUCGUAUUUAUUAGUUUCCGUUUAUAACUGUAUGUCGUCUUAGAGUAUAGUCUAGUAUCGUAUCAUGUGGUCAGUGGUCAGUUUAGUCUUUGUCUUACGUCAUAGUCUUAUGUCUUAUUUCAUUGGCUCAUCGAUUUCGCAGUAGUUUUAUGUUCCAGUCAUUGUUUCAUUGUGUGAUUGUGUGACCGGCCGGUAAAGGACGAGCAUCACUUGCCCUACCAAUAUGUAAAAAUAAGUGACAAGAUACCUACAUACAUACAUGCCAUACACAGAGUUCAUCUUGUAAGUACAUCUGUCUAAUGGAAUAAACGGACCGAAUGGUCCACCUGAACUUA